GGCUUUUGUCCCUCUGCAGUCCCCACCCAUGGCCCUUUGAGCUCUGCAACGUGCACGUUUGGAAACCAGCCUCUGUCACAAAAUCACCCACGUUCUUCCGGCCGCAAACCUUCGCCUCACGCGUCCUGGAGUUGAAGCCACUGAGAGGAGCCCCGAGGGGGGGAUGCCACACGCUGAGCUGGUGACAGGAGAGGAGCCACCGCCGCACUGUGGGAAAGCUGGAGCUGAGCUCAGCCAGACGGCCCCGGCCUCCUACGGGUGCGAAGCCUGCAAGUGGCAGGCGGUUGGCAAGGGGACACAGCUUUUGGCUACGAACUUGGACGUGCAUCUCCAUCCUCAGCCAGGCAGCCAGGACAGACUGCUGGGAAACGUCGAGGCUGGAUCCUCCUGCACUCUGAGUCCUUCUUCUCCGGUGUCAGUGGUUUAAGGAGGCCUUAGAGCAGAAACUCGCAGCCCUUAAUGGUGAUCACCUAUCCCAAGCUUUUAAAAAUCAGGACUAUUAUCCAUAUUUCCCAAUAGCAAGGCUCUCUGGUGGUGCAACGGCUAGACCAUACCGGAAGGACCAGUGACGGGAAAGCUCAAGAAGGGCCAGCAUUGUGUUUGCAGAAGGCAUCAAUGUAUUUUUACAGAAAAGAUACCUCUCAAAAAAAAAUCUUUUGACAUGCAUAAUUUGGGCUUACUGUGACUCUGAGAGAGGUUUGAGGCUUGAACCUUCAGUUGUUUCCGGGCUCAGUUUCUGCACGUCUCUAAGUCAGGGGCAAAUCCAGAUGAAAUACCUUGAAGGUGGCUAAUUUUCUUUCAUUUUCAGGGCUUGCCAGCACUAUCGGCAAGUCCAGUUCAUCUCCGUGCUGCGUGGCCAGCACCCCAGGUCCCCCCAUCCCCAUCUUUUCCUCUCUGAUGCUUGGCCCCUGAAUUCAUGGAAAGUACUCAGCAGUGGCGUGGGCGAGUGAUGGAGAGCUCUAGCGCUGGCCGAGCUGCCGAAGGAGCUGGUGACGUGGCAUUUUCCAGGCCGAUGCAGAAGUGAAGUCAGCUCUGCGCUCACGCUGGCGUGACUUGCUGCUUCCCCACCCCAACACGUGCAGGCGCUGCUCCCAGCACCUUGCAGCAGCCAUCUGCCGAAUCGCCUCCUCUGGAGGUGUCAGGCCCUGGCUGUGCAUCUGCUUCGCAUAUUUGCACUGCGCUCCCUCAGCUGUGGAAUAAGGGUCGAUCCAGGCAUGAGACCACAUCCGGCAACGGCCAAAGACCUAAUGUGAAGCGUAGUCUUUCUGCAAAGUGGCUGCUGCAUGCUCCACCUCCUCCCUGCUCUGCUCCAUUAACCCUCCCAAAUGCUUUAGGUUAAGCUGUGAAAAUCAGGGUGAACUCAAGAGAAGACCCUGCAGCUCCCACUGGUGGGAGAAGAGUUGGGGGUCCCCUUUCCUGCAUGAAUG
rnacentral:lncRNA from 1 species